GCGAACGCUGGCGGCAGGCCUAACACGUGCAAGUCGAACGGAUCCUUCGGGAUUAGUGGCGGACGGGUGAGUAACACGUGGGAACGUGCCCUUUGGUUCGGAACAACUCAGGGAAACUUGAGCUAAUACCGGAUGUGCCCUUCGGGGGAAAGAUUUAUCGCCAUUGGAGCGGCCCGCGUCUGAUUAGCUAGUUGGUGAGGUAACGGCCCACCAAGGCGACGAUCAGUAGCUGGUCUGAGAGGAUGAUCAGCCACACUGGGACUGAGACACGGCCCAGACUCCUACGGGAGGCAGCAGUGGGGAAUCUUGCGCAAUGGGCGAAAGCCUGACGCAGCCAUGCCGCGUGAAUGAUGAAGGUCUUAGGAUUGUAAAAUUCUUUCAGCGGGGACGAUAAUGACGGUACCCGCAGAAGAAGCUCCGGCUAACUUCGUG
rnacentral:rRNA from 1 species